UUCAAGAUCUUCAGCAACUGGGUUCAAAGUUCUUUGUGGCCUGCAUUGAUAGUUCAGCCUGGGUUGCUGAAAAAUUACCAAUCUGGUGUAAAUAGCCAUGUUGUACCAACGUGUACUGCCAAUGCUUGUCACCAGUACAGAAGACACAGGAGGCAUGUGCUUGUUCAAAUGGCAUUUUUCAGGCAGCAAGGUGCUAUGUGCCAUGUUAUGUGUUGUACUGUAUGUAUUGUAAAGCCUAGCAUGGAUUGAGGCAGCAUCAAUACCUGCAUUUCUUUCACUGAAGAAGCUAUACUACACGCCAAAUAACAAAACAGUUAUAGCCUGCCCAACUCUUUAUACACAGAAUGAAAAAGGAGUGUGUACCAACUGUACAUAAUUUGAAGCUUUGAAGAGAAGGACUGGUGCUGACCUGAGGACUUGACAAGCUUCGUAACUAUACCCACAUCAUGUGAAAGAGCAGUAAAUGCUGUUAAGAACAGUGCUAAUGAAAGGCUCAAGUCGUUUUAGUUCUUCAGUUAAUUACUUGUGAACCAAAGCAUUUUCUGUGAUGUGAUUUGGUUCUUCAGUGUAAGUUUUUGUCCUGAAUCAACACUAGCAGAAUUCUAGACAUCACUUGACCCAAAUCAGAGAAGAGACAUCUUCAGAUCUUCUGAAGGGUUUCUCUGAUCCACCACAGGAUAUUAGAAGACAAAAGCUUUUUUAUUAAUCUAUUCAUACUAUACCUCUGAAUGUGUAAACAGAUUUCCUAGAACUGGUAUCAUUUCAUGCUUCUUGGAGACCUUACUUAGAGCUGUGAGGAGCAAUUUGUCACUGUGAACUGACUGCAGUUUCAGAUAAUAAUGCUACAGUUGCUGAGAGGUAAAUUGGGCAGUAAUAAGAAAUGGAAGAGUAUAUGGCAGCUGAAACCAGUCACUUUACCAUUCUGUUUUUAUACACCUUCAAAAACAGUAUUUCCAGGGCAUUUCUUUUUUCUUGCUUUGUAUGUUGUCAAAAAUUCUUAACUUACACAAAAAUCUCAAGGAAGAUCUAAGUAGCUGAUUAUGGCGAUGAAGCGCUGAAAUUGGUUACACACAAAAUGCUGCCAAACUACCUAAAUAAACUAACCUAAAAGUUAAGAAAUGUCUUCAGAAGUAUAUUUUCAAAUUUAUUGUGCUCCUUCUGUUAAUUAAAAUACUCUUUUUAUUCUACAUAUAAUCUCUCAUAUCACUGUGUAUUGUCAACUAGAAUAAAAAAGCAUAAAAAAUAUAAAUGCUAAAUGUCACAACAGUGUUGGGUUUCAUAUUUCAAAUAUACUAGGAAACUUGCCUUCCUUUCUUAUUCCUUUUUUCUUUUCUCUACUUAAGAUACAAUAAGCACUGUAAGAAAUCUCCAAGCAACUUUCAAUCUUCAAGUUCAGGAGAGAUAACAGGA